UUUCUAUAGAAAAACGCUUAA
ensembl:piRNA 21ur-14004 ncRNA